CCGAGUUUACAACUCCCAAACCCCUGUGAACAUACCUAUAUGUUGCCUCGGCGGAUCAGCCCGCGCCCCGUAAAACGGGACGGCCCGCCGCAGGAUCCCUAAACUCUGUUUUUAGUGGAACUUCUGAGUAAACAAACAAAUAAAUCA
rnacentral:misc_RNA from 1 species